UGACAUAGGCAUCGAAAAAACCACAAACUAAUUCUUUUCCAGUGUCCUCAACUACCUCCAUCUUUACUUCAUGAAAUGAUUAAAUAUUGGCUUCUGAAAAAAUGUGAUUGUUGGUUAGCCGAACAAGUAUUUCUCUAGCAGUGCAGCAGACGCUUUCCUUCUGGUGACAUGUGAGAGUGGGUGGGACUGAUAUGUUGAUGUGGCAGAAGUACAUCGUGAACCACGCUGAGGAAGGCAACAUCUGUGAGGAUGGUGGAGAAUUACACGGGAAGGAGACAAAUCCAUAGAAGAAGAUCACAGAGCAAAGCCUCACUUGCAUAGGCUCUUUGGACUUUUAAAUUGUUCCAUGUGCACGAGUCAAACUUAAGUCAUUGUCUUUCAUUUGCUUGUUUGUUUUCCAGCAGUUUAGUCUUUAUCCUAAUAAAACUGCUUAGGAAAAUAUGAGCUGAUUGCUAUUCUUUUAAAGGGAAUGGCUAAACACAAUUGUAAUGGUAAAAAAAAAAAAUCUGCACAUUUUUCUUUACUUAGAUUGGAUAAGAGACAGAUGGAUUGUAUGGAAAUAAGUAACUUAUAACAUGGUCUUUUUGUUAUGUAAUUUCUCCCAUGCUUAAGAAGUAUUAUAUUAAUCACAGUUCUAAGAAGAGUCAGGUUUACAUUGUCAUAUGAAGUCUUUUCAUGGAUAUCUCCUCCAACUGUCAGAGAAGUAUUAUAUACAUGUAAUAGUGUCAUAGAGCAUAGAGUAUAGAUAAAAUAUAUAGUUUAUAGAGUAAAUUGAUUAUACGGUAAAGAGUAUAUAAAGUACACAGCAUGUAGGGUAGAUAGAGUAAUACUAUACAUUACUCUCCAUGUGUUCACAAAUAGAUAUAUUCACAUAUUACUUUCUACACAGAGAGAAUUUGUUUUCUGAAACCAUUAGAAGAUUUGAAUUUUCACAAGUCACAAAUAACAGAACUUUCAAGGUGUUCUAAAAUUAGAUAGAAAAUAGUUACUUAUAAGAAACCAUCCAGAAAUGCAUCAUUAACUCUCAGAAUGUGUAAAUAAAUCUGACAUUUGCCAGAAGCUAAUGAGAUACAUGCUUGCUGUCUAACUUGUCAAACAUUCUUUUUGGGAAAUCUUAAAAAGAGAAGCCUUCUAAAUCUGAGUCAUUUACAUGAGACCAAGUCAAAACAUACCAAACAUCAAAAUCAGGUUCCUGUUCUCUAAAGGUAUUUCAUAUGAAGAAGCAAGGUCUCCAUUGUUGGAUAGAUUUGCUUUAGAAUCCUCAUCCUGUGAAUUACUGGUUGUCAUCUUAGGCAAUUUACUCCAUUUCUUGAAGCCUUGUGAACGCUAAAAACUUAGGAGUCAGAACCAACUCUACUGUGGUUUCAGCUACUGGCAAUGCUAUAAAUGUUCUUGCCCUUUCUUUUUCCCCUGCAUUUUCGCCAGUUUAUUUUGUAACUGCUGCCUCCUUGUAGAAUGUAAAAUCCAGUAUCUCAAUUAUCAGCUUAGAUUUAGAUCACUUAUGUCUAAAUGCCUGAUAAAGUAGUUUGGUAUAUACCCUUCGCAACAAAAGUGGAUGCUUUCUGCAUUCGACUCCAUCUCAGAUCUCUUCCUUCAAGGAAAUAUACUUGAAUUUUGGUAGGUGUGCAGAAAAUAAUGCUGUUUGCAUUACUUCAAUCCAGAAGGUCAAAGAGUAUUACAAAUGAUGGACUACAUCACUAUGACAGCAUGGUGAUGGAGGAACAUGAAAUGUUAUUGGCACAUCUGAGUCCCAAAGAAUAUCAGCAAAAAAAAUAGUUUGACAAUGACAUCAUAAAAUUACUGUUUAUAAUCACUGGUGGCUCAUUUUAUUUCAAAGUCUUUGGUUUUGUUGAUCAUCUCCAUUAUGUAUCUGUAU